UGAGGAAAAGACUUAGCAAAGUUUCGCGGUUUACGCUAAUGAAGCAGAGCAGCACUGAGCCUUUAUGGUGGUUUAUGUACGCUUACGUCAUCAAAUCCAUCGGUUUCGGCCUCGAGCGAGGCUCAGAACACCGAGGGCACACUCUAGCGGCAUAUAGAGGGAAACACAAGAGGUUAUGUCGUGUCCCUCGAAGCACACCAGGCACCACCAGCUGACGUGUGUGUGUUCUUUUCGAGAACGAUAAAGGAUGACGCACGAGUUACCCAGGAAACGUUCUCUAAGAAAAUCGUUUCGAACGUCUGACUUCUCGUCGUUCUCCUUGUUCUCAUCGUCGCCAUCAUCAUCAUCGUUGACGCAUAACAGGGAGGAUAUUGAUGGUUUGACACGAAUAUGUGUGAUAUGGGUAGAAAGAGAUCACUCGACACGUUGGCUAUGUAUGUACAUAUAUCGAACCGUAUUUUAUUUAGCAUCGCACCUGCCUUAUCCUGUCCCUUGUAUUCUUCCCCUCUCGCAGGUGUUUAGAACACGGAAGAAUGCUCCUCUUCUCUCUUCGUGAAGAUAUUCUUACUGCAGUUCAACGCGCGAGCUCUUAUUUGUUAUACCGUUAUUUAUGGAGUCGUCAUAGUGAUAGCAUAAACUGAUACAUGUAUCAAGAUAAUCAAGGAAGUUAUUGCUCAAGAAAAUC